UACGCUGGCGGCACGCCUAACACAUGCAAGUCGAACGAAGUAGCAAUACUUAGUGGCAGACGGGUGAGUAACAUGUAGGUAUCUGCCCUUUGGCCUGGAAUAACACGAGGAAACUUGUGCUAAUACCGGAUAAGUCUUUACGGAGAAAGCUUUAUGCACCAUUGGAUGAGCCUGCACUUGAUUAGUUUGUUGGUGGGGUAAUGGCCUACCAAGACUGUGAUCAAUAGCUGAUUUGAGAGGAUGAUCAGCCACAUUGGGACUGAGACACGGCCCAAACUCCUACGGGAGGCAGCAGUGGGGAAUCUUGCACAAUGGAGGAAACUCUGAUGCAGCGAUGCCGCGUGAGUGAAGAAGGCCCUUGGGUUGUAAAGCUCUUUCGUCGGGGAAGAAAAUGACUGUACCCGAAUAAGAAGGUCCGGCUAACUUCGUGCCAGCAGCCGCGGUAAUACGAAGGGACCUAGCGUAGUUCGGAAUUACUGGGCUUAAAGAGUUCGUAGGUGGUUGAAAAAGUUAGUGGUGAAAUCCCAGAGCUUAACUCUGGAACUGCCAUUAAAACUUUUCAGCUAGAGUAUGAUAGAGGAAAGCAGAAUUUCUAGUGUAGAGGUGAAAUUCGUAGAUAUUAGAAAGAAUACCAAUUGCGAAGGCAGCUUUCUGGAUCAUUACUGACACUGAGGAACGAAAGCAUGGGUAGCGAAGAGGAUUAGAUACCCUCGUAGUCCAUGCCGUAAACGAUGUGUGUUAGACGUUGGAAAUUUAUUUUCAGUGUCGC
rnacentral:rRNA from 1 species